CCUACGGGAGGCAGCAGUGAGGAAUAUUGGUCAAUGGACGAGAGUCUGAACCAGCCAAGUAGCGUGAAGGAUGACUGCCCUAUGGGUUGUAAACUUCUUUUAUAAAGGAAUAAAACGAGGCACGUGUGCCUUUUUGCAUGUACUUUAUGAAUAAGGAUCGGCUAACUCCGUGCCAGCCGCCGCGGUAAUACGGGGGAUCCGAGCGUUAUCCGGAUUUAUUGGGUUUAAAGGGAGCGUAGAUGGGUUGUUAAGUCAGUUGUGAAAGUUUGCGGCUCAACCGUAAAAUUGCAAUUGAUACUGGCAGUCUUGAGUACAGUUGAGGUAGGCGGAAUUCGUGGUGUAGCGGUGAAAUGCUGAGAUAUCACGAAGAACCCCGAUUGCGAAGGCAGCUUACUAAACUGUGACUGACAUUGAUGCUCGAAAGUGUGGGUAUCAAACAGGAUUAGAUACCCUAGUAGUC
rnacentral:rRNA from 1 species